GUUCUCAAGUGUGCAGCCGUAAGUAUUGCUUUUUCGUAAAUUACGCAAAUGAAGGCGGAGACUCUUCAAUUAUAAACAGUACUGCCGAGGUGCAAACCCGUCCUGCCGCGGAAGUGGAGAGCUCGGAUCAUCAAUGGGGAUCACAGUCAGUAUUCAUAUUUAAAACAAAUCAGUGAUUCAAAAUGACAGCAGUUGAGAAAGCAAAUUUAGAGCAAUGGGAAGUGUAUAUUACCAGCAUUCUGCGACCGAGUUACAUCCAAGGAUUUCUCAAAAACUAUCUCUCUCCAGCAUCCAGGAAGAAGGUACAGGAGCCUCAGGAUCCACACCACCAGUUGAGAUUGAAGAAAUCUUAUCCCUGGAAGAAACAUCUUUCACAUCUUCGGCAGAAAAAUUUUUAAAAUGCUUGAUUAAGCUAGAAGAAAGGGGAUGGUAUCAAGCAUUUUUAGAUGAAUUGAGAGCUGUGGGUUACACGGGUCUGCAGGAUGCCAUUGAGAAAGCCGAUUUUUCUGAAAUUGAAAAGUUGCGGGAGAAUAAAGAGCUUCUGAAUCGUGUUUCUCAAACAAUUGUUUCUAACAUAAAACCAAAUGAUGUUAUUUUACACAUGCAGUGUCUACUGCCCAGAGAAGAGGAAGAAAUUAAAAAGGUCUGUGAACGCAGGGGUGACACUGCAGGAGCAGAGAAGUUACUUGAUUGUUUGAGAAGGUCAGAUAAGCAGCAGUUUUUCAAGGAGUUCCGCUUAGCCAUGGAAAGAUGCAACUAUGAUACAGUGCUACCCCUUGUAUCUCCAGAUUCUGAUGAGGCAUCUAACAGCUCUUUAACCAUGGAGCCUCUCAUCCAGGAGUCUGUUAUCCAGUAUUCUGAAGAGCCAGAAUAUAUGGACACUUGUAGUGCACUGGACAACGGUACAGAAAACUGUAGCCAACAAAAUUCAGGUGCCACUAAACAUUUAAAAUUGAGAGCUUAUCAAGAGGAGCUGGCAGAAUCUGCAGUAGCAGGAGACAACACCAUCAUCUGUGCUCCUACAGGGUCUGGGAAAACUAUUGUUGCCCUGCACAUUGCUGAACAGCAUCUCAGGGAGAGCUUUGAAGGGGAGAAGCGUAAAGUUGCCUUCAUGGCUACAACGGUUCCUGUCUUUCAGCAGCAGUUGGAAUUAUUUAAGAAUCACUUCAAGAACACCAGCUUCGGAGUGUUUGGAGUAUGUGGAGAUCAGGCGAACAAUUCUCCGGUGAAGAAGUUCGUUGAGAUGAAUGACAUCAUAAUCCUGACACCGCAGAUUCUUCUAAAUUGUCUCAAAGCUGAACAGAUUUCAUCGCUUACCAUCUUCACCCUGCUAAUAUUUGAUGAGUGCCACAAUACAGUCAAAAAGCACCCAUACAAUGUUUUAAUGAUGACGUACUUGGAUAUCAAGAUGGGCGCGAGACAAAGUCCAUUACCUCAGAUCGUUGGAUUGACAGCGUCCGUUGGGGUCGGUGAUGCCAGGUCGGUCAAUGAAGCAGAAGGUUAUAUUUUGCGCAUUUGUGCCAGUCUUGAUGCUGAAAGCAUAUCAACCGUGAACAAGAAUAUGGAAGAUCUGGAGAAAUACGUUUUUAUUUCAAAGAAAGAAACGAGAGAAGCUCCCAAGCGUACGAAGGAUCUGUUUGCAGACAUUAUCGGUCAAAUGAUGGUUCAAGUUGAACAAAUGGCCAAGAAUGUUUAUGACAUUGAUAAACUGUCACACAUCCAGAAUCAAGACCAUGGCUCUCAAAGAUAUGAACAGUGGAUCAUCGAAGUUCAGAAAAGGUGCAAAGUGCUUCAGAUGGAGGACGUAGAAAGGGAGCGAAAGGUCUGCCGGGCUCUCUUCACUUACACUGAGCAUCUGCGGAAGUACAAUGAUGCUCUGAUUAUCAAUGACGAUGCACGCACCAAGGAUGCAGUAAACUACCUGGAUCGUUUCUUCACUAACGUGAAAGAGGGUGGAUAUGAUGAGACAGAGCAGACACUUACUGCAAUAUUUGAAGCAAAGAAACUGCAGCUGAAGAGAAUUGAAGCUGACCCAGCUAAUGAAAACCCCAAGCUGGGUGAAGUGAGGAGGAUUCUGUGUCAGGAGUAUCAGAGAAACCCGAAAUCCAAAACCAUCAUGUUUGUCAGAACUAGAGCUCUCGCUGAGGCAUUCAUAAAUUGGUUAAAAGAAACUACGGCACUGUCAUUCUUACAACCUGAAAUGUUGUUGGGACGAUCAAAGAGCACAGGAAUGACUCUCCCCUCACAAAAAGGAGUGCUGACUUCCUUUAGAAAUGAAUUUGCAGGAUGCAACAUCCUUGUGGCAACAUCUGUCGCUGAUGAAGGAAUCGACAUUGCACAGUGCAACCUUGUGUUGCUGUACGAAUAUGUUGGAAAUGUUAUAAAAAUGAUCCAAACAAGAGGCCGUGGAAGAGCACAAGACAGCAAGUGCAUUCUUAUUACCAGCAAGAAAGAACAAGUAGAAAAAGAAGUGAGCAAUGCGGUACAAGAGGAAAUGAUGUACGAAGCUAUAAAGAAAUUACAACAAUGGGACAAGAAAAUAUUUAACAAAAAGUUGUAUCGAUAUGUUGGGACCAGGUUAGGUCCUCAGAGAUCUUGACACCCAGGAACAUGAAACUGCUCGCUCUCUUCACUUCUGAUCCCUCUAUGAGGACUGUUUCUUGCAGUCGUGGACGGAGUAGUUGCCUCACCAGGCUAUGAGGCACCUGGAUAGGAUGCUUUCUAUGAGGAAGAAGGGAAGAUGCCAAGUUUCUUCAGCCUCCUGAGGAAGGGAGGCACUGAUGAUCUUUCUGCCCUGGCUGGACCAGGACGGGCUACUGGUGAUGUUCGGUCCUAGGAACUGGAAGAGUUUAAGCUUCUCAACUUAAGUAUUAUGGAUGGAAUUAAAAACAGAAAUAUGCUGAAUUAAAUGAGGAAAUUGAAAGACUAUGGAACAUUGUCCCAAUACUAAUAUCUACAACUGGUAUCAUCCCAAAGUCACUACAUGGUAGAAUUAAACAGACAGGCCCACACAGCAUAAUUAUGCAAACCUUCAGAAAGCCACAAUAGUAAACACCACUAGAAUACUUCAGAAGUUCCAAGCUAUUGAAAAAUGAGUUUUAUCAGUUCGAGCAGAGAAAAAUCAAAAAUAUAAUAUUAAUAAAUAAAUAAACAAUAAAUAUUGAAAACAUGAAGAGUCCUUCAAAGUGACUCCAUAGGUUGUGGGAACAGUUCAGUGAUGGGAUGAGUGAGGUCAUCCCUUCUUGUUGAAGACACUACUGGUUGAGGGGUAAUAACUGUUCCUGAACCUGCUGGUGUGGGUCCUGGGGCUCUUGUACCUUCAUCCUAUUGGCAGCAGUGAGAUGAGAGUAUGACCUGGAUGGUGGGGGUCCUUGAUGAAGAAUGGUGUUUUCCUCCAUGUAGAUGUGCUCAAUGGUAGGGAAGGCUUUACCAAUGAUGGACUGGCUGUAUCCACUACCUUUCGUAGACAUUUUCGUUCAAAGGCAUUAGUGUUUCUGUAUCAAACCACGAUGCAGCCAAUUGGUAUACUCUGCACCACACAUCUACAGAAGUUUGUCAAAAUUUUAGAUGAUAUGCCAAAUCUGUGCAAACAUAGAAGUAAGUAGAGGUGCUGCUGUGGAGUAAUGGCAUAAAUCAGAAGUGACUCAAAAUAUUUAAAGGUUUGAAUUUGGAAUUUAUCAAUGAUAUAAUUCUAAAGUGUUCAAUUCUCUCC